UAGAGAAUCCAAAUUAACCUAAAUCGCAUCUUUCCAUUUAGGCCAACGCCGUUUCGCGACUGGAUCUCCGACGCACAAACUAGAUCUCCGAUGCACGACACCGACUGGAACAAGAUCUCUAAUUCUCUCCUCUUCCUCUCAACUCCAUCAGCCACGUCUUUGGCUCAGGCUCCCUCAACGAUUCCCUUAGAUUCCACCAUCUCAGGUGUGUUUUGAUUGUCCUCCUUCUACGUUCAUAGUCGUCGUCCUCCACAGCCUGAGCUUUGCAAUCAAAAUCCGACAGCUAGUGUUAGCAGUAAAGCCUUCAAGCCUAUAACUCGAAGUCAAUGAAAAAUGAGCUCCUUCUCCAUCACGCGGAAUAGGACUCCCUUCCAAAAGCACAGAGAGGGAGAAAAAGGCCAAGAAAAAGUGUUGGAGAAAGCAAUCUACUCUCGAAGCUUUGCAGAAUUCUUCUACUUUGCAUUUGUAGUAGUAGAUUUUAAAAAUAAUGUGAAUUUGGAUAUUGAAGCCUCCAUUGACCAACAGAUCAUUCGGCCAACCAAGAAAUGUUGAAAUGAAGUUUCGCGCUGAAGGUGGCAAAAUUAUGCCUGUGUGUUUAGAGUAUCACCAUUAAAAAUGACAAUAGCAUUACAACAUUGACAGUAGCUUUAUACAACUAUUGUAAUAGAUUUUUACAACUAUGGUAGUAACUUUUGACAACUAUGAAAGUUGCUUUUUACAUAGUGAUAUCAUUGUUGAACGCUGCAUACUUUUUAUAUUAUUGAAUAUGUUUUCUUUUCUCGA